CUGUGACUCCUACGGGAGGCAGCAGUGGGGAAUAUUGCACAAUGGGCGCAAGCCUGAUGCAGCCAUGCCGCGUGUAUGAAGAAGGCCUUCGGGUUGUAAAGUACUUUCAGCAGUGAGGAAGGCGAGUACGUUAAUAGCGUGCUCGUUUGACGUUAGCUGCAGAAGAAGCACCGGCUAACUCCGUGCCAGCAGCCGCGGUAAUACGGAGGGUGCGAGCGUUAAUCGGAAUUACUGGGCGUAAAGCGCAUGCAGGUGGUUUGUUAAGUCAGAUGUGAAAGCCCCGGGGCUCAACCUCGGAAUUGCAUUUGAAACUGGCAGACUAGAGUACUGUAGAGGGGGUAGAAUUUCAGGUGUAGCGGUGAAAUGCGUAGAGAUCUGAAGGAAUACCGGUGGCGAAGGCGGCCCCCUGGACAGAUACUGACACUCAGAUGCGAAAGCGUGGGGAGCAAACAGGAUUAGAUACCCUGGUAG
rnacentral:rRNA from 1 species